AUUGAACGCUGGCGGCAGGCCUAACACAUGCAAGUCGAGCGAGCGGCGGACGGGUGAGUAAUGUCUGGGAAACUGCCUGAUGGAGGGGGAUAACGACUGGAAACGGUAGCUAAUACCGCAUACCAUCAGAUGUGCCCAGAUGGGAUUAGCUAGUAGGUGGGGUAACGGCUCACCUAGGCGACGAUCCCUAGCUGGUCUGAGAGGAUGACCAGCCACACGGGACAUGAGACACGGGCCAGCCUCCUACGGGAGGCAGCAGGGGGGAAUGUUGGACAAUGGGCGAAAGCCUGAUGCAGCCAUGCCGCGUGUGUGAAGAAGGCCUUCGGGUUGUAAAGCACUUUCAGCGGGGAGGCGUUACCCGCAGAAGAAGCACCGGCUAACUCCGUGCCAGCAGCCGCGGUAAUAC
rnacentral:rRNA from 1 species